UCUUAUGGAUGAGCAAAGAAAAUGGUUUCUUAAAAUGGAAUCCACUUCUGGUGAAGAUGCUAUGAA
rnacentral:pre_miRNA from 1 species